rnacentral:rRNA from 1 species
UACGUAGGUGACAAGCGUUGUCCGGAAUUACUGGGCGUAAAGCGCGUGUAGGCGGCCUUGCAAGUUGGAUGUGAAAGCCCACGGCUCAACCGUGGAAGCGCAUCCAAAACUGCAUCGCUCGAGUCUCGGAGAGGAAGGUGGAAUGCUUGGUGUAGAGGUGAAAUUCGUAGAUAUCAAGCAGAACACCUGCGGCGAAGGCGGCCUUCUGGACGAUGACUGACGCUGAGACGCGAAAGCGUGGGGAGCAAACAGG